AUAAUUUUACAUUCCUACCAAGUGAAUUACUAAAUCUGUUCUUCCUAUUACCUCAACCCUGAUACCUAAUCCGACAAAAAGAGAGAUCGAAAAGAGAUGGGCCGGCGCUAUUGAUUGACGUACAUUCCAUCCAACCUACAGCGGUAAAAGAGGGCGCUUGCGUAAGUCGUUAUCCAGUGAGAACUCAGCGGCAGAGGCGGAGGCGGGCCUUGUGGAAACUGCUGCAGCAGGGUUGGCGGAUUUGGGAAGGAGUGAAGAUGGCGGAGUGAGGCGCAUCGCGGCCAGCCGGCCUUUGGGCCGGGGGCGUGAAGGCCCCCGGACGGUCGAGUGCUUCUACUGGCUGGUGAGAGGAAGAACAUUUUCUCUGGCUUCCAGGUGCUUUUAUCUUCAUCUCGAGAAGAAAAUAAAAUUCUGAACUCAGGAUUUGGCAAGUGAGUAAUAGUGGCUAAUGUUUUCAGAUACUCUUUAAGAAGCUUGAAAAAUAGCUAGUUAGAAGUGGAACAGUAAGCUUCAAUAGAAAGUAAACGUCACAAGUGACUAAAAAUUACAUACAUUUAAGUUAAAUCUUUUAUUCUCAACAAAAGCAGUGUAUUCAGUAUAAAAAAAGAAAAAUUGAUCAUUUGCCCAAACUAGUAAUUUUUAUUGGAUAAAGAAAAAAGUACAGACUUGAUUAGAUUGAAGACCAACUGGUAAAAUAUAAAUAUUAUUAGGCAAGUUUUAUAAUUUAUUAUUAUUUUUUAAGCUUAUUUAUUUAUUUUGAGAGAGAGAGAGAGAGAAUGGGACAGGGCCAGAGAGAGGGAGAGAGAAAAUCCCAAGCAAGGUCCUUGCUGUCAGCGCAGAGCCUUACAUUAGGAUUGAUCCCAAGAACCAUGAGGUCUUGACAGCUGAAAUCUAGAGUUUGACCCUUUUUUUUUUAAUGUUUAUUUAUUUCUGAGAGAGACAGAGCGUGAACAGGGAAGGAGCAUAUAGAGAAGGAGACACAGAAUUCGAAUCAGGCUGUCAGCACAGAGCCCAAUGUGGGGCUCAAACUCACAAACCACGAGAUCGUGAUCUGAGCUGAAGCCGAAACUUAACCGACUGAGCCACCCAGGUGCUCCAAGAGUUGACACUUAACUGACUGAGCCACCCAGUCACCCCAGAGCCAUACUUCCUUUGAAAGUACUAGGGAAGGAUGUGUUUCUUCUAGUUUUGUUAGUUCGUUGGUGCAUGGCAGCAUAACUCCAGUCUUCACAUGGCAUUCUCCCUGUGAGUAUGUCUGUUUCCUAAAUUCUCUCUUUUACAAGAAUACCAGUCAUGUUAGAUUAGGAGCCUACUCUGUUCCAGUAUGACCUCAUUUAAAAAAAAUCUUCUUUUUCUAAAUGUUUAUUUUUGAGGGAGAGACAAGAAUGUGAGUGGUGGAGGGGCAGAGAGAGAAGCAGGCUCCAGGCUCUGAGCUGUCAGCACAGAUCGGGUGCAGCACAAACUCGAACAGCAAGAUAAUGACCUGAGCCAAAGUUGGAAGCUUAAUAGACUGAGCCAGUAGGCACCCCAGUAUGACUUCAUUUUAAUGUUUGUUUAUUUUUUUUGAGAGAGAGAGAGAGAGAGAGCGCACGCAUGUGCAUGUGGAACUGGAGCGGGAGGGAGAGAGAAUCCCAAGCAGGUGCCAAGUUCAACACAGAACCCAAUGCAGAAUUCAAUCUGAGGACUCUGAGAUCAUGAUCUGAGCUGAUCAAGAGUUGGAUACUCAACAAACUGAGCAUCACAGCUGCCCCCAGUAUGACCUCAUUUUAACUAAUUUCUAAAAUACUACAUACUGCUUAUAAAAGGUACUUAAGAAUAGUCAAAAUCAUAGAGACAGAAACUAGGAUGGUGGUUGCCAGGGACUUCAGGAAGGGAAAAUGGAAAUUGUUAUUAUUUAAUGAGGGCAGAGUUUCAGUUUUGCAAAUGAAAAAAGUUGAGACAGUUGGGGUGGUGAUGCUUGCAAAACAAGAUGAAUGUACUUAAUACCACUGAACUUGAC
ensembl:lncRNA